rnacentral:tRNA from 1 species
GCCUGGGUGGCUCAGUCGGUUAAGCAUCUGACUUCGGCUCAGGUCAUGAUCUCAUGGUUUGUGGGUUCAAGCCCUGCGUUGGGCU